GGUACAAUUGCUAAGUCUAAUGGUAAGUGCGUAUUAAACUUUAUAAGACUCUGCCAAAUUAUUUUCCAGAGUAGCUGUUCCAUUUUACAUUCCCAUCAGCAAU
rnacentral:pre_miRNA from 1 species